AUUUUUCGUGCACAAUGUAUGGUGUGACUAUUACGAAUUCAAAUAACCUUAAUGUGCUUAUAACUUGUAAGGAAACAAGAAAAAAAAUUAAAAAUAUUAUUGAUGAAUUAUGUAGAGGCAUACCAUUUGUUGUAUUUAACUGUCUUCUCAGAAAUAUACAUUAAACAGAAAUACACAGAUGAUGAAUAGAAGAUCGAUGUUAUGGAUUCUUGCACUGUUGCAAGUAUACAUACUUUGGAGAAUAAUGAUUGUUCGGGAUGGUAACAGGAUUGUUCCUGUACUUCAGAGAUAACGGGACAAGUCUGAUACAAAUAUUAAUAGAAGUAUGCAUUUAUGCUGAUUUCCAAAUGAUGAUGUCUUUAAAAAUAUAAAUAUAGUGUUAUGGAUUCUUUUACUGUUGCAAGUUAUACAUACUUCGGAGAAAAAUAAUUGUUCGGGAUGGUAACAGGAUUGUCCCUGUACUUCAGAGAUAACGAGACAAGUCUGGUACAUAUAUUAGUAGAAGUAUGCAUUUACGCUGAUUUCCAAAUGAUGAUGUCUUUAAUAAUAUAAAUAUAGGAAUUUCCAAGAAUCCAGAACGAUGUGUCUAUCCAGAUUUUUUGUGUCUGCAAUGGAUAAUGCUGUGCAUUUUCUGUGUUAAGAACUUACGAUGGAUCGCCUCCAACGCAUACUAUAGGAGUACCUUUAACUGGAACUAACCUAUGAAGCACAAUUAACGAAGAUGAAAUAUCUGAGC